UGGUGGAGCGAUUUGUCUGGUCAAUUCCGCUAACGAACGAGACUCUAGCCUACUAAAUAGUUCGGGGACCCCCACAAAGGGGCCCCGCUUCAACUUCUUAGAGGGACAGGUGGCGUUUAGCCACACGAGAUUGAGCAAUAACA
rnacentral:rRNA from 1 species